rnacentral:rRNA from 1 species
GAUGAACGCUGGCGGCGUGCCUAAUACAUGCAAGUCGAGCGAACAGACGAGGAGCUUGCUCCUCUGACGUUAGCGGCGGACGGGUGAGUAACACGUGGAUAACCUACCUAUAAGACUGGGAUAACUUCGGGAAACCGGAGCUAAUACCGGAUAAUAUAUUGAACCGCAUGGUUCAAUAGUGAAAGACGGUUUUGCUGUCACUUAUAGAUGGAUCCGCGCCGCAUUAGCUAGUUGGUAAGGUAACGGCUUACCAAGGCGACGAUGCGUAGCCGACCUGAGCGGGUGAUCGGCCACACUGGAACUGAGACACGGUCCAGACUCCUACGGGAGGCAGCAGUAGGGAAUCUUCCGCAAUGGGCGAAAGCCUGACGGAGCAACGCCGCGUGAGUGAUGAAGGUCUUCGGAUCGUAAAACUCUGUUAUUAGGGAAGAACAAAUGUGUAAGUAACUAUGCACGUCUUGACGGUACCUAAUCAGAAAGCCACGGCUAACUACGUG